ACCUUUUUCAUCAUCUUGGAUACGUUACGCUAUUGCUUUCAUCAUUUCAAUAUUUUGAUGACAGUAAUUUGUCUUGAUCUCCAUGUCAAAUUAUUUCAGGUUGAUGCUAAUGUGAUGAAAUGGAAGGCAGCUUCUUGACCCUGCCAAUUUAUGUCAAAAUCAUUUCAGGUUGAUGCUAAUGUGAUGAAAUGGAAGGCAGCUUCUUGACCCUGCCAAUUUGGGGGUUUAUUCGUGUAUUGGGAGUUUCAUCCUAUCUAGAAUCUUUAGGGUUUGUUGAAUUGAUAGUAUC
rnacentral:lncRNA from 1 species